rnacentral:rRNA from 1 species
AACAGGGAUUGCCCUAGUAACGGCGAGUGAAGCGGCAACAGCUCAAAUUUGAAAUCUGGCUUCGGCCCGAGUUGUAAUUUGCAGAGGAAGCUUUAGGCGCGGCACUUUCUGAGUCCCCUGGAACGGGGCGCCAUAGAGGGUGAGAGCCCCGUAUAGUUAGAUGCCUAGCCUGUGUAAAGCUCCUUCGACGAGUCGAGUAGUUUGGGAAUGCUGCUCAAAAUGGGAGGUAAAUUUCUUCUAAAGCUAAAUACCGGCCAGAGACCGAUAGCGCACAAGUAGAGUGAUCGAAAGAUGAAAAGCACUUUGAAAAGAGGGUUAAAUAGCACGUGAAAUUGUUGAAAGGGAAGCGCUUGUGACCAGACUUGCGCCGGGCAGAUCAUCCGGUGUUCUCACCGGUGCACUCUGCCCGGCUCAGGCCAGCAUCGGUUCUCGCGGGGGGAUAAAGGCCCUGGGAACGUAGCUCCUCCGGGAGUGUUAUAGCCCGGGGCGUAAUGCCCUCGCGGGGACCGAGGUUCGCGCAUCUGCAAGGAUGCUGGCGUAAUGGUCAUCAGCGACCCGUCUUGAAACACGGACCAAGGAGUCAAGGUUUUGCGCGAGUGUUUGGGUGUAAAACCCGCACGCGUAAUGAAAGUGAACGUAGGUGAGAGCUUCGGCGCAUCAUCGACCGAUCCUGAUGUUUUCGGAUGGAUUUGAGUAGGAGCGUUAAGCCUUGGACCCGAAAGAUGGUGAACUAUGCUUGGAUAGGGUGAAGCCAGAGGAAACUCUGGUGGAGGCUCGCAGCGGUUCUGACGUGCAAAUCGAUCGUCAAAUCUGAGCAUGGGGGCGAAAGACUAAUCGAACCA